rnacentral:rRNA from 1 species
UACGGGGGGGGCAAGCGUUGUUCGGAAUUACUGGGCGUAAAGGGCGCGUAGGCGGCCUGCUAAGUCACACGUGAAAUCCCUCGGCUCAACCGGGGAACUGCGUGUGAUACUGGCGGGCUUGAAUUCGGGAGAGGGAUGUGGAAUUCCAGGUGUAGCGGUGAAAUGCGCAGAUAUCAGGAGGAACACCGGUGGCGAAGGCGGAUCUCUGGGCCUUACCUGACGCUGAGGCGCGAAAGCUAGGGGAGCAAGCAGG